AUUGAACGCUGGCGGCAGGCCUAACACAUGCAAGUCGGGCUAGCGGCGGACGGGUGAGUAAUGUAUGGGAAUCUGCCUGAUGGAGGGGGAUAACUACUGGAAACGGUAGCUAAUACCGCAUACCAGCAGAUGAACCCAUAUGGGAUUAGCUAGUAGGUGAGGUAACGGCUCACCAAGGCCACGCUGCAUGACCGACCUGAGAGGGUGAUCGGACACAAUGGGCCUGAGGAACGGCCCUGACUCCCAGGGGAGGCAGCAGUAGGGGAUCUGAGGCAAGGGGGGCUAGCCUGAUGCAGCCCCGCCGCGUGUAUGUAGGAGGCCUUCGGGUUAUAAAGUACUUUCAGUUGAGGGGGGUUACCGACAGAAGAAGCACCGGCUAACACCGUGCCAGCAACCGGGGUAAUAC
rnacentral:rRNA from 1 species